GUAAGUUAACGUUCAUUGAGAUGUUCGAGAAACGAUCUCAAUGGUGUGUUGUUAUGGUUGGCUUCUGCUGAGACUGUGAGGUGUCUGCAGUAAUGCCGUUUUAAGAUUUGUUAUGGUUUGAGAAUUUGUUGGUGUCUGUACUCACACUUGCUCAGAGAACGUUGAAUGGCUCGUAGAAAUCUUCUUUGGGAUGAACCUAUAUUUUGUAAAUAUUAUUUUGUAAAUAUUUUGUGUAUGAUGUAUACAUUUAUAAUUUUUGCAAUAUUUUUGAAUUUAAUAUAUGUUGAAUAGGUUAGGAACCCGGAUGAAUACUAAAAAAAAAUUGGAAAUUAAUUGAAUUUAUAGGGGAUUAAGUAAAAAAAAAACAAAAAGAAAAUGAAUUUGUAUAUAGCAGUCACAUUGCAAAAUUUACCACUACGAAAAUUUGGUUUAAGUCCUUAAACCAAAUUUUCGUAAAAUAGCCGUGGUGCAAUGUAGCGGACAGGAGAUUUUGUAGAUAUUUUGUAAAUAAGUCUGUAAAUAUUUAAAAUAAGAUAGAUUGUAAGAGAAUACAAUCUGUCUCAGAUAAUUCAAAUUUGUAAAUAUCCCUUAGCUUAGGCAAACGAAAAGCAUUCAUUAACAAACGCUUCCCGAGGUCGAGGCCAUUUGUUUUCUGGAUAAGGUGGGAAAGGGAAAGCAGCACGACUAUCGGUCAAGUUAUCCACAUAGCGGUGUAGUCACGAUUGAACACGAAGGGUUUCGGGAAAUGACGUACUUCCGGGUACGUCCGAGAUCAUUCACUUUCCCUUAUCUGAGGCUACCAAGACUCGAUCAUUUCGUCCGUGAUAGCUCAAAGAGUUGGAAGUGUCCGCGUUUGCUUGUUAGUUUUUCGUGUGCCUAGAUAGGCCAAAAGUGUGCGUAGAUAACUGUGUGCGAUUGUUGAACGAUAAGAAGCCUAAGGAAAGUACGGGCAUUCAUCUUCAAUCCGCAGAUUCUCGCACCCAAACGUGACCGCUUCUCCCCAACGGACGAAAACACCCGGCGACCGUCAACCUGCCGGAAGCGGACGGAUCCGUCACCAAAUCGGUCCGAGAAGGCCCGGGGACCUUCAGGUGGACGAAGUCCACGAGCUGGUGCGCCAACUGACCAGCAGGGCAUCAACCAAGUGCCAGAAACCGCCAUCGCAUAGCUACCGUCAACCGCCAUUGCGAUCACGCGGUGACGAGCCGAUCAACGACAGCGCCUCAAUCAACCAAGCCGCCGGUGAGUCAACGACCCGGCUUACAGGUCAUCGACUGCUGAGGUUGAGUAAGCAGAAUAGAUCGGUGAGUCAACCAAUUUCUUUUAUUUGCGGAGUGCGGCGUCCGCUGAGGGCGCCGCGGAGGAUCUUUUUUGCCAGUCAAAGACUGAUGAGAUGAAGUGCCAUUAGAGCCAAUCGACCCUUUUUGAACAUCGAAAUUCCUUUCGAUAGCGUCUUGGGAGCCACCGUCUUUGGUUCCGUGAAAAUGCGUGCGUGAGCCCGUCUUAGCCACCACUGCAGGAAGGUCGGAUACUAGGAGCGCAGACAUAGCCGUAGCUGAGCUUCCGAUAAGUGACGUCACGGGAAUAGAGCAGUAGAGCACUGAGCACAGAUAGGGAGAUAGAGAGGGAGUGGCUAGUAAUCGCACACCAGCUAGGAGCUUGUAAAUAGGGAACGAACACAUCCAAUGACAGGAAUUCGAAUUCGAUCGUUGCAAUAAAAAUGUAUGUUAUCCUAGGUAGUAAGUGAAUAUAUUCGUAUCAGUUUCGUCAAACCCCAAAUAAAUGUGUUAUUAGUUUCCAUCCUAGCAAUAUGAUUGUUUAAUUGUAUUUAGCAUCACUGCGCGGUUUGCUGUAGUUUCGUGUCCCGUCCUCCACACGUAGAGUUUGAUUGGGUUAUCUUAUGAGUGUCUUCCAGCUCAGUGAGGGAUCUGGUGGUGAGAAGAGAGAGUUCUGCCAGUGAUGAGAACUUCUCUUUAGUGGGAUCGUAGGGGUUCAGGUGAGAUCUCUCACCGUCGUCUCUGAGUGUCGUCGUGAUUGUGCUGUUAUGUUGUGGUAAUAGGGAUUUCCCGUUUGGCCGUUUUAGAUCGUAGCCAGCUGGAUCGAUCCAUAAAUCCUUUCCAGGAAAUUAAAUGGACUCGCCCUUUGGGAGUCUCAUCCGGGCAAUUUAAAAUUGGGCUCGUGGUCUCCUUUCGAGGAGUGGCGCAUAAGCCACGUGUUUUAUGCUGGAUCGCCCAGCAACGGCUACA